AGAGUUUGAUCCUGGCUCAGGAUGAACGCUGGCGGCGUGCCUAAUACAUGCAAGUCGAGCGAACGGACGAGAAGCUUGCUUUUCUGAUGUUAGCGGCGGACGGGUGAGUAACACGUGGAUAACCUACCUAUAAGACUGGGAUAACUUCGGGAAACCGGAGCUAAUACCGGAUAAUAUUUUGAACCGCAUGGUUCAAAAGUGAAAGACGGUCUUGCUGUCACUUAUAGAUGGAUCCGCGCUGCAUUAGCUAGUUGGUAAGGUAACGGCUUACCAAGGCAACGAUGCAUAGCCGACCUGAGAGGGUGAUCGGCCACACUGGAACUGAGACACGGUCCAGACUCCUACGGGAGGCAGCAGUAGGGAAUCUUCCGCAAUGGGCGAAAGCCUGACGGAGCAACGCCGCGUGAGUGAUGAAGGUCUUCGGAUCGUAAAACUCUGUUAUUAGGGAAGAACAUAUGUGUAAGUAACUGUGCACAUCUUGACGGUACCUAAUCAGAAAGCCACGGCUAACUACGUGCCAGCAGCCGCGGUAAUACGUAGGUGGCAAGCGUUAUCCGGAAUUAUUGGGCGUAAAGCGCGCGUAGGCGGUUUUUUAAGUCUGAUGUGAAAGCCCACGGCUCAACCGUGGAGGGUCAUUGGAAACUGGAAAACUUGAGUGCAGAAGAGGAAAGUGGAAUUCCAUGUGUAGCGGUGAAAUGCGCAGAGAUAUGGAGGAACACCAGUGGCGAAGGCGACUUUCUGGUCUGUAACUGACGCUGAUGUGCGAAAGCGUGGGGAUCAAACAGGAUUAGAUACCCUGGUAGUCCACGCCGUAAACGAUGAGUGCUAAGUGUUAGGGGGUUUCCGCCCCUUAGUGCUGCAGCUAACGCAUUAAGCACUCCGCCUGGGGAGUACGACCGCAAGGUUGAAACUCAAAGGAAUUGACGGGGACCCGCACAAGCGGUGGAGCAUGUGGUUUAAUUCGAAGCAACGCGAAGAACCUUACCAAAUCUUGACAUCCUUUGACAACUCUAGAGAUAGAGCUUUCCCCUUCGGGGGACAAAGUGACAGGUGGUGCAUGGUUGUCGUCAGCUCGUGUCGUGAGAUGUUGGGUUAAGUCCCGCAACGAGCGCAACCCUUAAGCUUAGUUGCCAUCAUUAAGUUGGGCACUCUAAGUUGACUGCCGGUGACAAACCGGAGGAAGGUGGGGAUGACGUCAAAUCAUCAUGCCCCUUAUGAUUUGGGCUACACACGUGCUACAAUGGACAAUACAAAGGGCAGCGAAACCAUGAGGUCAAGCAAAUCCCAUAAAGUUGUUCUCAGUUCGGAUUGUAGUCUGCAACUCGACUACAUGAAGCUGGAAUCGCUAGUAAUCGUAGAUCAGCAUGCUACGGUGAAUACGUUCCCGGGUCUUGUACACACCGCCCGUCACACCACGAGAGUUUGUAACACCCGAAGCCGGUGGAGUAACCUUUUAGGAGCUAGCCGUCGAAGGUGGGACAAAUGAUUGGGGUGAAGUCGUAACAAGGUAGCCGUAUCGGAAGGUGCGGCUGGAUCACCU
rnacentral:rRNA from 1 species